UACGAAGGGUGCAAACGUUUGCUCGGAAUUACUGGGCGUAAAGCGCACGUAGGCGGCUACUCAAGUCGGGGGGUGAAAGCCCGGGGCUCAACCCCGGAACUGCCCCUCGAAACUAGGUAGCUAGAAUCUUGGAGAGGUCAGUGGAAUUCCGAGUGUAGAGGUGAAAUUCGUAGAUAUUGGGAAGAACACCGGGUGGCGAAAGGCGGCGACCUGGGUCCGA
rnacentral:rRNA from 1 species